rnacentral:rRNA from 1 species
UACGGGGGGGCAAGCGUUGUUCGGAAUUACUGGGCGUAAAGGCUCGUAGGCGGCCAACUAAGUCAGACGUGAAAUCCCUCGGCUUAACCGGGAACUGCAUCUGAUACUGGAUGGCUUGAGUUCGGGAGAGGGAUGCGGAAUUCCAGGUGUAGCGGUGAAAUGCGUAGAUAUCUGGAGGAACACCGGUGGCGAAGGCGGCAUCCUGGACCGACACUGACGCUGAGGAGCGAAAGCCAGGGAGCAAACGG